rnacentral:rRNA from 1 species
AGCAGCCGCGGUAAUUCCAGCUCCAAUAGCGUAUAUUAAAGUUGUUGCAGUUAAAAAGCCCGUAGUUGAAUUUCGGGGUUCUACCGUUGGUCAGGCUAUUGUCUGUACUGGCGUGUAGAAUUUCUACCUUCUGGGGAACUAUCAUGUUAUUAAUUUAGCGUGGUAGGAAACCAGGACCUUUACCUUGAAAAAAUUAGAGUGUUCAAAGCAGGCUUAUGUCUGAAUACAUUAGCAUGGAAUAAUAAAAUAGGACGGUGGUCCUGUUUUGUUGGUUUCUGAAUCACCGUAAUGAUUAAUAGGGAUAGUUGGGGGCAUUAGUAUUCAAUUGUCAGAGGUGAAAUUCUUGGAUUUAUUGAAGACUAACUACUGCGAAAGCAUUUGCCAAGGAUGUUUUCAUUAAUCAAGAACGAAAGUUAGGGAUCGAAGACGAUCAGAUACCGUCGUAGUCUUAACCAUAAACUAUGCCGACUAGGAAUCAGACGAUGUUAAUUUUUUAAUGACUCGUUUGGCACCUUACGGA